GCCACCUUAGCUCAGCUGGUCAGAGCACGUGAUUUGUAAUCUCGGGGUCGUCAGUUCGAAUCUGACAGGUGGCU
rnacentral:tRNA from 1 species